AGCAGCCGCGGUAAUUCCAGCUCCAAUAGCGUAUAUUAAAGUUGUUGCAGUUAAAAAGCUCGUAGUUGAAUUUCGGGAUUGACACAUCGGUCGUGCCUUAAGGGGUAUGAACUGGUGUAGUCAAUUUCUCACCUUCUGGAGAACCGCGAUGCCCUUAAUUGGGUGUCGCGGGGAACCAGGACCUUUACUUUGAAAAAAUUAGAGUGUUUAAAGCAGGCAUUUUGCUUGAAUACAUUAGCAUGGAAUAAUAAAAUAGGACGGCAUGAUUCUAUUUUGUUGGUUUCUAGGAUCACCGUAAUGAUUAAUAGGGAUAGUUGGGAGCAUUAGUAUUCAAUUGUCAGAGGUGAAAUUCUUGGAUUUAUUGAAGACUAACUACUGCGAAAGCAUUUGCCAAGGAUGUUUUCAUUAAUCAAGAACGAAAGUUAGGGGAUCGAAGACGAUCAGAUACCGUCGUAGUCUUAACCAUAAACUAUGCCGACUAGGAAUCAGACGAUGUUAAUUUUUUAAUGACUCGUUUGGC
rnacentral:misc_RNA from 1 species